GUUGCCCUUGGACGCUGGGAAGCAUUCCAGUGAGCAAAAUUCCUCCCCCAAGAUGGCAACAUUGCAGCAUCGCAUAUUCAGCAGAUUGAGGACAAGAAGUUUGUGGUGAAGGGAUCUACCCAAACGUAUUAUGUAGACAUGGACUUGGAGCUGUGUUCUUGCCCUGCAGGACAAACAGGAGCGCCUUGUAAACACCAGGCAGCAGUGAUGAAACAUUACAGCUGUUUGUCACACUCUUUUCUACCGAUAAACCCAGAGAUGAGAGCAGAGCUGAUGAAACUGACAUCGGCAGAAACCAUCUCUUUGGAUUUCCUCCAACCCCUCAGACUUGAAAGGCAAUCAUGUCAGUCGUUUAGAA